GUCAAAUAUAUGAUGAUAUCUGAGCUUAUUUUUAACUUCCAAACCACUAUAUUGUUAAAACUCAGUACAAUACACCGCCAAGGGUGGUAAUGCUACUAGGUGCACUAUAGUACCUAGGGUAGAUACCAUAUCUAGAUGGCAAGUUCAAAGCCAACAGAGCUUGAGCUUGAGCUUGAGCCAGAUUCCGACCAAAGUAGAGAUCAUCAAACUGCUGGAGUUGUAGCUGUUGCGCUAUGGCCUGAACAAUGUUAAUAUCCUGAUAGUGAGACUGUUGCGCCACCAGCCUGAGCUGUUGCCAGACUUGGUUGUUUCUCAGUUGAAAUGCAGCUGAUUGCAAUAAGGGGCUUGCCGCUAUGCCAUACUGCUGCCUUACGAACUCAUUAUAUGGGCUAAGCACAUGUUGCUGUAGUAGGAGAGGCGACUGCAGCUGAUAUUGCCUAUAACUUUGACCUAAAACAUCAAACUGCGCAGAGGCGCUGUUUGCAGCAAUAGCAAGAAGAGCAAAGACGAAAAUGAUCUUCAUUGCUACGGGACACUAGAUCUUUCUUUUUUUGUUGUAUAAUGCUUGAACUGUGUGAACGAUGGGGAGGGUUUUCAUUGCGCUUGUCUAUUUAUAGAUGCAAUGGCACUGAUUUUCUUUCAAUUCCUCAUCGGUUGCUUUGGAGUGUUAGUUUUGCUUUCAUGUCCUAUUAGGAUCCAAGUGAGUCAUGUCAUUCGGACACAUGUUCUAUUAGGUGCCCCAACAAAUCCCCUUUGAUUUCAUCACGAAAGUAACUUUUGUGUCCAUCACAUAUACUCCCUCCAUCCAGUAAGGAGAAACCCACUUCUAGGGAUGAACCUGGACAAUCAUUUGUCCAGAUUCAUCCCUAAACCCUAAACCUUGUCCAGGUUCAUCCCCUAGAAGUUGUCAUUUUUGGGAUCGGAUGGUGUACAUGAUGGUUAGCAGGCUAGAAAGAUAAUGAUAUGACUCAUCGCUCACUUUAUACGUUAGUUUGGUAAGGAUUGCAACCAUUAUCUAGCUAUAUUUGUUAUGUUUUGUGAGCUAUUAUCCUAUAUACCUAUACAAAUCAUCCCCACUACUAGGAAUUCUCUGCAUCCUGGUGAUUCCACGUCAUCUUUUUUCUCUAGCCGUUGGUUUCUAAUCAAACGAUCAAGAUCACUGUCGCAUCGACUAUCCAUUAAAAUUUGAUUGACAUUGUAUCUCACUAACUCACGCCUAAAAUUAGGGUUUCUCUCCUCUAACGCGACGCCUUGGAGUUUCACCCUACCUCUCCGAUCUGGGUUGAUUUUGUCCCGGAGUCGGUUAGAAAUUCAAUCUAUGGCUGCUCUGCAAGUCGACGUGAAGACGAAGAGCGAUUUUACUGGAUCUCAUGGCGAGCGCAGCCUCUGCAACGGAGAGUCAGAAGUCGGCGAAACCUAAAGGAUCCACGGCAAGCCAAGAAGAUGAGGCAAAGGAUGAUAUUGAGAUGCUUUUGGAGGGUUUGGAUCUCAGGAAGGACGAGGAAGAGGAUGUUGAAUUGGAGGAAGAUCUCAAAGAGCUGGAAGCGGAUGCCCGAUGGUUAGCCCUAGCUAGGGUUCAUACAGAGAAAUCCUUUAGCCAUGGUGCUUUGUUUGCCAGCAUGCGAUCUGCAUGGAAUUGUGCGAAGGAAGUAGAUUUCAGGUCCAUGAAAGAUAAUUUGUUUUCAAUCCAAUUGAAUUGUCUUGCUGAUUGGGAGCGAGUUAUGGAGGAAGGACCAUGGAUUUUCCGUGGUUGUCCUGUGCUGCUUGCUGAAUAUGAUGGUUGGUCAGAGAUUGAAUCUGUGGUUCUUGAAACCUAUCCCACUUGGGUCCAGAUUCAUGAUCUGAAAGAGAAGAUCAGAACAGGGAGUAUUGCAACUCAGUUAGUCCGUAAAGCAGGAACUGUCAUCAAAUUAGAUGAGGCGUCAGUAAAAGGGAGUGGUGAUGGUGUUCGAGUAAGGGUGAAAGUUGAUGUUCGUAAGCCUCUCCUGCGAGUAGGAGCACCACUUUGAAUAAGAAGAAGUGGUUUUUCCGGCUGAUGUAUGAGAAGAUGCUGGUCUUCUGUGGGAUUUGUGGUCUGGUGGGUCAUGUCACAAAGGAGCAUGGUGAUGGCGUGCAUCUUCCAGAAGCGAUACAGUAUCCUGAUACUUUGGUAGCACCUGAGUUUAGAAGAUCGGGUAACUGGUUUAAUGGUGGCGGAAGAAAAGGCCGAGGCCAAGGAAGAGGAAGGGGAUGGAGUGGUCGUUCUUAUCGACCUGACUCUGAUAUGGCUGCGUAUGAUGGGGGCGACGAUGAGGAGAUGAUGGAUACAGCCACUAGCCCUUCAAAACAAGUGGCUAAACACUAUGCUCCCUCUACAUCCGUAAAAAAGAGAUUGGCUCUGGAACAGGUGACGUCACCAAAUCUGAAGAGCAAGCAGGCCCUACUACUGGAGAAUACACCUGUGCAAGAUGAUGGAAAUAUAAAUACUGAAGCUCUCCCAAAGGAAGUUGAUGAGUCAAACAGUAAGGAAGAGGACAGUUCAACAUCACUAGACAGUAAGCGUCAGAAGAAGGUGGAUGAAGGCAGCAAUACAGAUGACUUGGCAACAUCGGCGGGCUCCCUCGAGGAGUACCGCCGGGCCUAAUGUCUAUCCUAGCUUGGAACUGUCGGGGCAUUGGGCGAGCCCGGACAGUUCAAGAUUUAGUCUGCAUGGUGCAGACUCACUGCCCCGAAAAUAGUCUUCCUAGCGGAGACGAGGCAAAAUCAAAACGUUGUGAGAAACCUAACAUGGAGAUUAGGUCUGCGACGCUGCUUUGUAGUGAAUGGAAGGGGGAAGGGAGGUGGCAUUGCGCUGUUCUGGGAUGAAAGCAUUAAAGUUGAGCUUAAAUCCUAUAAUGUGAGACAUAUUGACGUUCUUAUCACAGAAUCUGAUGGGGAAAGGUGGAGAGGAACCUUUGUUUAUGGCGAACCACGAUCCCAAGAUCGACUCAAAAUGUGGACUUUACUCCGUCGGAUUAAAUCCAAUGCAGCGCUGCCUUGGUUGAUGAUUGGAGACUUUAAUGAGGCUAUGUGGCAAUCUGAACAUUGGUCUCGGGUCAGGCGAUCAGAGAGACAAAUGAAAGAUUUCAGAGAAGCUCUUGCUGAUUGUGAUUUGCAUGAUCUUGGUUUUCAUGGAGUGCCAUGGACGUAUGAUAACAAUCAAAGAGGUGCAAACAAUGUAAGAGUACGACUGGAUCGAGCAGUAGCCUCGCCAGCAUGGCUGGGCAGAUUUAGACAGGCAAGCAUCACACACCUUGUUACACCUAGUUCCGACCAUGUACCGUUGCUACUGGAGAGAUUAGAAGAAGAACUUGUUCAUAACAGUGUGAAGAUAAGUCGUUAUGAAGCUAUUUGGGAAAGAGAAGAAUCCUUUGACUCGGUUGUCCAGCAGGCAUGGGGAGAAGGAGAAGUUGUGCGCAACCUUGGGGACUUCAAAACCAAGAUGGCAUACACAAUGGACGAACUUGUCAAGUGGAGCAAAUCAAAGAUUGGCAACAUAAAGAAAGGUAUUGAAAGUCGCAGGAAGAAAUUAGGUGAACUCAGAAUGGCAGGGAUGCUUGACUCUGAACCAGAGGUGAAAAAGAUCAAAGAGCAGCUUCAGGAAAUGCUUCGCCGUGAGGAGAUAUGGUGGAGACAGCGAUCUCAAAUCACUUGGCUGAAGGAGGGUGACAAAAAUACAAAGUAUUUCCACCUGAAAGCGUCCUGGCGAGCUCGGAAGAAUAAAGUGAAGAAAUUGCGCAGGCCUAAUGGCAGCCUGGUGUCAAAUGAAAAGGAGAUGGGAGAGGUUGCCCGUGAUUUCUUCCAGAAUCUAUAUAUGAAAGAUGAAAAUCUUGACCCUACUGAACUUUUCAAUUUGUUCCAGACAAAAAUAACAGCGGAAAUGAAUGAGUCUUUGAUGAAACCCUUCUCUGAGGAGGAGAUAGGAGACGUCUUGUUCCAGAUAGGGCAUUUGAAAGCGCCAGGGUCCGAUGGUUUCCCGGCGCAUUUCUUCCAAAGAAAUUGGGACCCUUAAGACUGAUGUUAUUAGAGUGUGUUAACAGUGAAAUUUGGUAAGCCUGGAGUAGUCAACGGCUUAGAGUCAGCAUCGGCUUUGAAGUCUGAGAUUAGCCGAUGAGAGUUGUCAAGUCGUCAGUUGUCGGAUUCUUGCUAUAUUCGGUUAAGGAAAUUGAUCUACUAAAUGAAGUUUAUCCAGAAGAGACCGAGUUCAAAGAGAAUGCGGCAUGGCAAGUUAUCUAUUAAUUAGGAAUAGUUUGUAAGUUUCCUUUUAUCUUUAGGAAAGUUUCUUUCUUGUCCUACAAGGACUAGUAUCUACCCAUAGGUAUAAAUAUGUACACCCGGGGUCAUUGUAAACUAUCUUCACGAUCAAUACAAUUCGGCGCAUCGCCACCCUUUUACUUCUACUUUUGUUUUUACGUUCCGGCGGAACUUGGCACCCGACAUGGGGCUGCAUCGUCUUCGAUCUCCGGCGAAGGGAUCAGUCCAAUGUUCCGUCGGCCCAGGCAAUUGUAUCGUCUACGUCGGCAUCGUUCAAGGCUGCAUCAGUACAUUCGACCUCUUGGAUUACUCUGGUUUGGAUAAUAUAUUUGCCUGGCUAUUUAUCAUAUGUCUAUGUUAAUCUAGUCCUAGCAUCUCAAUUUAGCUCUAUCGGAUGUCUCUCACUUUAGGGUUUCUGCCGGUAUCGGCUAAAUCGCCUUGCUAGAUUAGAUUAGUUUAGACAUCUACCACCCUGAAAACUCAGUCAUCGGCUUGAUUGUCUAGAUAUUAUUUUUCUUUUUAUGCUUAGUGCUGCAUCAGUUAAGUUUGAUCUACUAAGUCGUGCUUAGAACCAUAAUUUCUAGCCUGCUUCUUGAUUGCCAAUAAGGGUUUCAUCGGGGUUACAGCCAAUGAGUUAUCUGGACGUUGCAUCGGCUUACAAGGAUUGCAUGUACAUAUAAGUUGGAUUUAGCCGAUCGCAACAAAGGUUUUACUGUUUUAUCUAAUCCUGUGGAUUUAAUGACAUCGGACCUCCAGCCGAUGUAUGCUUUAACCUUCGGAUCAAUACUUGUUCUACUAUAUCAUAUUGUUAGCCGAUUGGUUUCUACUGGGCUAUUCGGAUCAGUGCUUAUUAUAUCUUGUUUCUAGCCGAUUGGUUUCUACUCGGUUAUAUUGUUAUUUUAUUACAUCAUCAUCAACCGAUUGCCUUUAUAUCAUUAUCUAUAUUGGACAUAUAGCCGAUUGCUUAAACCCUAUCGCUAUCGGCUGGUAUCGACAUCGGCUAUUAUCAGCUAUCGGUUGGAACUACUCCAUCGGCUUGUCAGCCAAUCGGCUGUUUUAUCUGCUGUUUACAUAUUUUGUCAGUUGUAGGAUCAAAUUGACUGGCACGCUCGCAUCUCAUCAAUCUUUGGAACUGCACAGGAGCUAAGCAGAUCUCCCAGGCCGGUGUGUUCGAUUUUUUCGUCAACAGAGUGGUACAAGCAUUUUUUGAAAACGGCGAAAUGCAGGAGGGAGCAAAUGACACUGUCAUAGUUAUGAUUCCAAAAACUAAGUCACCGGAGGAGAUGAAGGAUUUCUGGCCCAUCAGUCUAUGUAAUGUGAUAUACAAGGUGAUAGCUAAAUGCCUUGUUAAUCUAUGUAAUGUGAUAUACAAGGUGAUAGCUAAAUGCCUUGUUAAUCGACUCAGACCGCUCCUUCAUGAUGUAAUAUCAAAUGCAUAGAGUGCUUUUGUAUCAGGUUGCAUGAUCACAGACAACGCGCUCAUCGCUUUCGAAUGCUUCCAUGCCAUCCAAAAAUGCAAAAGGGAGAACCAGAAUUUUUGUGCUCUGAAAUUAGAUCUUUCAAAGGCCUAUGAUAGAGUUGAUUGGGCGUUUCUGGAUGGGGUGUUGCAAAGAAUGGGUUUUGGAGAAUCAUGGAGGAAGUGGACAAUGUCAUGUAUGACAUCUGUUAGAUACAGUAUCUGUUUAAAUGGGAACCUGCUAGAUCCUUUUACCCCAACAAGAGGAUUGCGGCAAGGUGAUCCUCUUAGUCCAUACUUGUUUCUGUUUAUUACUGACGGGUUGUCACAUAUUCUGGAGAAGAAGAGCUUGGAAGGUUCAAUCCAACCAAUUAAGGUGUGUCGGGGAGCCCCGGGGAUCUCCCACUUACUUUUUGCUGACGAUAGCUUAUUGUUUUUUCAAGCCGAGGUUGAUCAAGCGAGAAUUUGCUGGAGGCGCUCAGUCUAUACGAGAAAAGCACAGGGCAGCUUAUUAACCCAGCAAAGUGUUCUCUGUUGUUUAGUGAAUUUUGCUCAUAGGAGAGGCAGGAGGAGAUCAAAGCUGUUCUGCAGAUUCAAAGAGCAGGUUUUGAAGAUAAAUACCUAGGCCUUCCAACUCCCGAAGGUAGGAUGAAAUCAGAACAAUUCCAACCAAUCAAGGGAAGAUUUUCUAAGAGAUUAACAGAUUGGUGUGAGAGGUUUCUAUCAGCUGCAGGGAAGGAUACUCUGAUAAAGAGUGUAGCUCAAGCUCUCCCCACCUACACGAUAGGAGUGUUUAAGAUGCCUGAACAUUUUUGUAAUGAUUAUGAAUAGAUGGUUCGCAAUUUUUGGUGGGGACAUGACAAAGGGGAGAGGAAAGUACAUUGGAUAUCCUGGGAAAAGCUCACGAGCCCUAAGCUUCAUGGUGGCCUGGGCUUUCGGGAUACUCGGUCUUUCAAUCAGGCUUUAUUAGCACGUCAAGCAUGGAGGUUGAUCGCGGAGCCGAAUAGCUUGUGCGCUCGGUUGCUGAAAGCAAAGUAUUACCCCAAUGGCUCCCUUACUGAUACAGCUUUCCCGUCCAAUACUUCACCAACUUGGAAAGGAAUCGAACAUGGGCUGGAAUUGCUAAAGAAAGGACUGAUUUGGAGGAUAGGAGACAGGCGGACUACCAAGAUUUGGAGGAAUAGAUGGGUGGCGCAUGGUGAGAAAGUUGAGGUUAUACAGAAGAAGAAUUGGAAUAGGCUCACGUAUGUACAUGAGCUUUUGAUCCCUGGAACAAACGCCUGGAAUGAGGCAUUAAUCAGACAUGUUGCGACGGAGGAAGAUGCAAAUGCUAUUCUAAAGAUCCAUGUGCCAAACCAGGAGACAUCUCACUUUCCUGCAUGGCACUAUGAGAAAACAGGCCUUUUUUCAGUAAGAAGCGCCUAUAAGCUACUUCCUCCGUUUCACAAUAUAAGUCAUUCUAGCAUUUUCCACAUUCAUAUUGAUGUUAAUGAAUUUAGAUAGAUAUAUAUGUCUAGAUUCAUUAACAUCAAUAUGAAUAUAGGAAAUGCUAGAAUGACUUACAUUGUGAAACGGAGGGAGUAGCAUGGAACUUAACUAAGAGUGCUCAAGUUCAGGCCGCAUCAAGUACUGCUACCAAUGGUGAAAGGAAGCUCUGGGAGAAUGUGUGGAAGGCAGACGUUCAACCAAAAGUUAAGAUUUUUGCAUGGAAACUUGCUCACGACAGGCUGCCCACUUGGGAGAAUAAACGAAAAAGAAGGAUACAACCAGUAGGCAUCUGCCCUAUCUGUGGUGUAAAGGAGGAAAAUGGUUUCCAUGCGACUGUUGAAUGUACAAUGGCGAGAUCGUUGCGAGAAGCCAUCAGAGAGUUCUGGGCGCUACCGCCGGAAAGGAAGUUUGCUAUGACUGGGCCUGACUGGCUCCUUGUCCUGUUGGAUAGCUUGAAUAGUUCAGACAAGGCGCGUGUUUUGUACUUGUUGUGGAGAGCAUGGUUCCUCAGGAAUGAUAUGAUCCAUGGAAAGGGGACGGCCACAAUUGCAGAGUCUGUAAAUUUCCUCGUCAACUAUGAGAAGGUACUGUUGCCGAUCCGACAACAAAGCGAUGACAUCAAAGGAAAAGGAUUAAUGUAUAAUGAACCAAUGGUGAAAUUACUGCAGGUUCAGACAACCAAUCAGGUUGAUAAAUGGCACGCCCUUCCCGAAGGUUCAGCAAAGGUAAAUGUGGAUGCUGGUUUUAUAGAAGACACAGGAGUUUCAGCUGCUGGAAUCAUCAUUAGAGACUGCAGGGGUUUAGUGCUGUUUGCUGUGCAAAAAAAUCCUGUGCUACUGCUGUCCAAGCUGAGGCAUUGGCAUGUCUAGAAGGAUUAAGGGCAGCCAUGGAAUGGAUUCAUAUGCCAAGAAUCUUGGAAACUGACAGCGUAGAGGUGUUCAAGGCUCUGUCACAACAGGAGCUGUCGAGAUCACCCUUGGCAGCGACAAUAAAGGAAGCGAGAGGGAUGAUGCAGUGUCUCUAAAGUGUGCAGGUUUGCAAGAUCAAGAGGGAAGCAAAUAGGAUUGCUCAUGCUUUAGCUCAAAUGGCUAUGAGGUCUAGAUCGUGUGUGGAGUAGAAGUUGUGUGCUCCCGCAGGAAUCUUAGACUUGAUAGACCAAGAAUGUAAUCAUCUCUUCCGUAAUCAAUAAAAUUCCCUCUUUGAAGUCAAAAAAAAAAAGGAUCACUGUCGCAUCACACAUCCACUCGCUUCUCCUCCUGCCGCUGCUCGCGCUUCACCUCCGCAUCUCUGGCACGCAGCAGCCGUGGGACCUCCAGGCAAAGCGCUCGCUUCUCCUUCCCCAUCCGCCGCGCAUGCCAUCAGCGGGCCCACAAGCUCAGCUGCGUUCGCUUCUCCUCGCCCCACAGCGCUGCCUCCCCAUUCCCCCGCGCGCUCUAGCCGUACUGUGCCGCUUCUCCUCCCCUCACGCAAGCGACGAGCUCGCUAGCCCAACUACACGAAUAAUCCUCUUUAAUUUCCGCUAACAGUCACACACUUAUUUACUUUGCCUCUUACUCUUCCUCUUCCCAUGUUCAUGUGCAUGUGAAAGAUGCACAUGCCGAUGCCGGUGAUUGCUGCUAUAUAAUGACAUGCUCGGUGUUGUUGCUCGCUCGCUAAAUGUCUUCGUCUCUCUCUCACCAAUUCUGAUUUUCAUAGACUAAUCUUCAUAGACUAAUCGCUCUAAUUAACUUCCUUGCAGUUUUGCUUGAGGUUCUAUUUGACUUUCAUAAUACAUUCCAAUUAUCCUUUCCUUUUGUAUCUGGUACGUAUUUGAAUUAAUAUUUUAAUUACUCUUAUUUUUUUCAUAUGAUAACAUAAAUUUCAUAAUUGUUUAGUGCCCUGUGUUGUUGAACAAUAUUUGAAGCCGUUUUCAUUUUAUAUGCUAUUAAAAACCCUUUUUUCAUUGUUGGUUACACUUCUUAUUAUGCUGCAUUUUCAGCUGAUCUUUUUAGCAUUAGCAUAAUAUUGUUAUUCCUAUGUCCAGCAACUUUAUAAAGGUUUUUAAUACUCUGUAUUGUUCUGUAUUGUACAGGAAACAAGAAAGGUGGGAGCUUUCUUCAUUGAACCACUGCACAAAUAAUUCCUUUGACGGUACGCCAUUAAAAUCCUCUUUUCCCCUUGAUCAUAUCUGCCACUGUAGACUGACUAAGUUGUUUUGCAUUAAUUUUAGUAGCGGUUGCUGCAACCUUGAAAUUAUCUUAACUUAAUAGUGAGACAAGAAAAGGAAGCGAGUUGAAUUGCAUAAGUUUUUCAAUAAUUUGAACUGUCAAUUUGAAAGUGAACUGUCAAUUUGAAAGUUCAACACAUUGUGCAUAUUCGGUUGUCUUGACAACAAUAUUGAUGUUAUAUUUAUUGGAGUCUGAACUCCUAUCUGAUGUUAUAUUUAUUGGAGUCUCGGCUCCUAUCUUUAUUAUUUUAUUCUUUUAUUUGAUUGAAUAGAAUAAAAUGAAGGGUGUAAUAUUCAAACUAUUUCUUUUUUUAUACUUCAAACUGUAGAAGAUUUGCCGGAUAUAUUAGAACGAGAAAAGAAGUAGUAAACCAGAGCCUUACAUAUGUCUGUUAAAAGGAAAAAAACAUCUAGGGAAGAUAUGAGGAUUGAUUUACAUAAAAAAAGAGAGCGAUUGAUUGAAAGAUCAUGAAACAGACAGAUCCUUGACUAUUAGGCUAAUUUUUUCCUUCACUAGAAAAGCGACUUAGAAUCCAUUCUUCAACAAUUGUUGGAAAAUUCUAUUGUGUACCAGCCAUAUGUUCCACCACAUCAUCAACAAAGGUAUGGAAUUACAGAGCUCACUCCACCAAUCUGUGAUGGUUUGCAUGGCUUGCUGUUCUGGGGCUUGGAAGUUCAUCCAAUUGCACACUUUAUCCUAACUAUUUCUACAUUUAUAUUGUAAACUAUAUCUUUAGAAAUGUGCUAUUUGACUUAACAUGUCAAUGUAGGCCAUGUGAUAUUUCAUUUUAGGUUGUCUGGCACUGGCAGCAGCCGACCCAACUUUCACUAUGAGUACUGUAUUUUUCAAGUAAAUACUGCACAUAUAAUUUUUAUCCAUUGUUUUAAAUAAGCCGACAUCUCCAGUGACAACUAAAAGUGCCGCAGCAACACGCGGGGUAUAUUCUAGUUUCACUAAUGCAUGACACGUUGAACAUUAAAGUCGUGUGGCCUCAUGCAUUUUAUAUUAUAAAAUUUCAACAAGAAUGACAAAAUUAUGGUACGCCAAGUGCUUUUUAUUGUUCCGUUGAUGCGGUACCGAACAUUCAAUUUUCUAGCAAGAAUUAGGUUUGCACUGAAUUCUUAAAUCACCAUUCGAGAGAUUUACGAGAAAUCAACAUGUUGCUCUACUUGUAGUGCAGGAUUGACGCAAUUCGUAUUCUUGUAAACCAACUUGUUACGUGUUUUCUUGUCUAAACAUUUUGGAUAGACUUGGGCUGUGUUCGGAAUCCAGGGUUCCCAACCCAUCUCCAUCGUAUUCCGCGUGCACGCUUUUCAAACUGCUAAACGGUGUGUUUUUUUGCAAAAAGUUUCUAUACAAAAGUUGCUUAAAAAAAUCAUAUUAAUCCAUUUUUUGUAAAAAAAGCUAAUACUUAACUAAUCAAGCUCUAAUGAACCGCUCCGUUUUCUGUGCGCACUUUGCAUGUUGGGAACAGUUGAUUCCAAACACAGCCCUAUUCGUUUUCGAGAUGGAAAAGAACUACCACAUAUUUGUAGUGUGUCAAGAACCGGUUUUCUUUGGGUACAUCAUGCGUGAGUUCCUCUAGUUUUGUUGAAACAUCAAGUUUAUUAUCCAUUUUGUUUGCAGUAAACUAUCGACUUGCUAUGUUAGAAUAAACUUCUCAUAGAAACGAGGGUGUCAGCAAGAACAACCUCAACGUGUAGGAGCAUUCCAUAAGUAAGACAUCUCAUAGUGUGGAAGAUGUGUACAUUUUUUUAAAGUCACUCUUUCGUGACUGAAUAAACAGAACAUCAUAAAUCCUUCUUUCUAGUUUCCACCCUCGCUGUUGCUGCUACACUUUUUGCUUCUAUAUUGAAUUAGUUACGUCUAGGUUAUGCUUCUGUGAUACAAAGUGAGCGAGGCUCAACUAAAGAAUGCCUUGUACACUACAUCUUGUCAGGAAGGAUGGACAACAAGAUGGCUUUCAAUUGAAAUUAAUAUGCAUAUAUGAAAGUCAUUAAUAUACCAAUGUUUAAAACUUUGGAAUCAUAUCUUGAUGUCGCUUGAAACAACAUAUUUGCAUGAAGUGACACGUUUGGUCGACAAGGGCAUGUCAUAUUCACAAUGAUCAUGCAUAUGCGGCCUUUCAUAUGCGCUUAUUUUAGUAGUGGAUGAAGAAUCAAUGUGGAUUGCUACAUCUUUACGUGCUUUGUAUGUUCUUCGAUUUUGUUGUAGUGGAUUUAGUAUUUGCCAUAUGUGCUUCGUGUUUGUUCUUAUUGGAAUUAAAGGAUGGACAUCCUUUAUACGCUCCAUUUAUAUCUUAAAGACAAAGUAGCUUCGGAUCGAAUAUAAGCACACAGUAAAAUUGUAGAGUACCAACGAUGGUAAUUAGUUACGACGAUGUACUAGGAUAUAUCACCCCGAGUUUCACAUGUCAAAUAUGAUGAUAUCUGAGCCUAUUUUUAACUUCCAAACCACUAUAUUGUUAAAACUCAGUACAAUAAACCGCCAAGGGUGGUAAUGCUACUAGGUGCACUAUAGUACCUAGGGUAGAUACCAUAUCUAGAUGGCAAGUUCAAAGCCAACAGAGCUUGGGCUGGAGCUUGAGCCAGAUUCCGAUCAAAGUAGAGAUCAUCAAACUGCUGGAGUUGUAGCUGCUGCGCUAUGACCUGAAAAAUGUUAAUAUCCUCAUAGUGAGACUGUUGCGCCACCAGCCAAAGCUGUUGCCAGACUUGGUUGUUUCUCAGUUGAAACGCAACUGAUUGCAAUAAGGGGCUUGCCGUUAUGCCAUACUGCUGCCUUACGAACUCAUUAUAUGGGCUAAGCACCUGUUGCUGUAGCAGGAGAGGCGACUGCAGCUGAUAUUGCCUAUAACUUUGACCUAAAACAUCAAACUGCGCAGAGGCGCUGCAUGCAGCAAUAGUAAGAAGAGCAAAGGCGAAAAUGAUCUUCAUUGCUACGGGACACUAGAUCUUUCUUUUUUGCUGUAUAAUGCUUGAACUGUGUGAACGAUGGGGAGGGUUUUCAUUGCGCUUGUCUAUUUAUAGAUGCGAUGGCACUGAUUUUCUUUCAAUUCCUCAUCGGUUGCUUUGGAGUGUUAGUUUUGCUUUGAUGUCCUAUUAGGAUCCAAGUGAGUCAUGUCAUUUGGACACAUGUUCUAUUAGGUACCCCAACAAAUCCCCUUUGAUUUCAUUACGAAAGUAACUUUUAUGUCCAUCACAUAUACUCCCUCCGUCCCGUAAGGAGAAACCCACUUCUAGGGAUGAACCUGGACAAUCAUUUGUCCAGAUUCAUCCCUAAACCCUAAACAUUGUCCAGGUUCAUCCCUAGAAGUUGUCAUAUUUUGGGAUCGGAAAGUGUACGUGAUGGUUAGCAGGCUAGAAAGAUAAUGAUAUGACUCAUCGCUCGCUUUAUACGUUAGUUUGGUAAGGAUUGCAACCGUUAUCUAGCUAUAUUUGUUAUGUUUUGUGAGCUAUUAUUUCACUAAUGCAUGACACGUUGAACAUUAAGGUCGUGUGGCCUCAUGCAUUUUAUGUUACAAAAUUUCAACAAGAAUGACAAAAUUAUGGUAUGCCAAGUGCUUUUUAUUGUUCCGUUGAUGCGGUACCGAACAUUUGAUUUUAUAGCAAGAGUUAGGUUUGCACUAAAUUCUUAAAUCACCAUUCGAGAGAUUUACGAGAAAUCACCAUUUUGCUCUACCUAUAGUGCAGGAUUGACGUAAUUCGUAUUCUUGCAAACCAACUUGUUACGUGUUUUCUUGUCUAAACUUUUUGGAUAGACUUGGGCUGUGUUCGGAAUCCAGGGUUCCCAACCCAUCUCCAUCGUAUUCCGCGCGCACGCUUUUCAAACUGCUAAACGGUGUGUUUUUUUGUAAAAAGUUUCUCUACAAAAGUUGCUUAAAAAAUCAUAUUAAUCUAUUUUUUUGAAAAAAAAGCUAAUACUUAACUAAUCAAGCUUUAAUGGACCGCUCCGUUUUCCGUGCGCACUUUGCAUGUUGGGAACAGCUGAUUCCAAACACAGCCUUGAUUCGUUUUUAAGAUAGAAAAGAACUACCACAGAUUUGUAGUGUGUCAAGAACCGGUUUCCUUUGGGUAUAUCAUGCGUGAGUUUCUCUAGUUUUGUUGAAACAUCAGGCUUAUUAUCCAUUUUAUUGGCAGUAAACUAUCGACUUGCUAUGUUAGAAAAAACUUCUCAUAGAAACGAGAGUGUCAGCAAGAACAACCUCCGCGUGUAGGAGCAUUCCAUAAGUAAGACAUGUCAUAAUUUUAACUUUGGAAGAAUUGUACAUCUAUAUCUAUACUAAUAUAAAAAGGAUGAGUUGAGCCUAGCAAUGCUUCAGGCCAAAUCAUCGUCCCUAAUCCCUACCAUCCAUCCGCAUCUGCAUCGCAUCAUCACCCUAAUCCCUACCGUCCACCCACAUCGCAUCACAAAUCCGCACUAAUCCACUGCAAUUUCACCCUCCCACAGCGACCUCAUCCUCUCUCCACCGAAUUUUUUGGCCUGCGCUCCCGCCACCGCGAGAUGACUCUGCGUCUCCGCCCUCAGCGCCACGGUGUUAUCGGGCCAUCGCGCUUGCGCGCCAUCCUAAACACUCCCCGCAAACGUCGCCCUCCACCCACCCCUCUAGAUUAAGCCCACCCUUCCUCCAAGCUCCCAAUCCACCCUUUCUCCAAGCCUCCCAGGGCCAGCCGUGAUCCCCUCCACCGUGCCACUACCGACGGUACCCCCCCCCCACUCCCUGACGCAGCCAGUCCUCCUCGCCGGGUGCACCCAUCUCCGUCGUUGUCCACUCUUCCGGCGGCAUCACCACCCAGUUGCGCCACCCGGUCGUCAUCCCUUCUACCACCGCUGCAAGGUGCAGACUCUGCUCACAAUGCACAGCUCCACCGUGCCCCGGUCACUAUUCCUCUCAGUCGCGUGCCUUCCUCCCUUCAAGGCUUCAACUGACGUCGCCGUGCUCUCUUCUGCCUCGCGUUGCUUGAAUGGGCAAAGGCUGCUUCGAUCCACGCAGUAUUCACCGUCAGAUUACUUUUGUAUGGCCUCAAACCCUGAACCUCUUUUCUUUGAAUCUUGUUAUCAAUCUUAAUUAGGUUUCCUCAACCUCCCUCCAUCUGCUUUGGAUCUUUCCUUCUUAAUUUCCAGUGAAUAAUCGGUGAAAAGAAGACCAGCUCUGGCGCCUACCAAUGCACAGCUUGAGCAGAGCAGCGAUGAGGACCAGAUACAUUCGACAGGCGGAGAACAAUGCACAACGGCUAUGGCAGAUGCGGCUGAGAGGAUGAGACCUCAUUCCCGAUCUAGCUGCAAGCUGCAUGUGGCUGAUGCAAUCUCCUCCGCAUCCGUUUGCUGCGUCUCCGGCCCUCCGCAGCCCGCCCAUGCAACUUUGGCGCAUGGUACUCUGGCAGCCACAACAAUUAAUUUGCGUCGCUCAGUGGUGAUGACUGACGAGGUACACAUCCGCUUGAUUUUGUUUAUAUAUGUUACUGAAUCUUAGCUCGAAUGAUUUUUUUUCUUUUACUGAGCGCAGUAAGAUUGAGAUAGAUCAGAUCAAUUUCUUUUUGCUCUUCCAAAGGCCUUAAUAAGACAUUCAAGAAGCUAGAUCAUGAUGUCAAAUAUUCCGGACUUCUUUGGCUCAGAGUAAAUUUCUGCCAGCUUAUGCUAUAACAUGGAAUAAAAAUAUACAAUAACACAAAUGUCUAUUGCAAAGAAAGAUUCUCACUCUGCAAUUCUUUUGAAUCUAUUGUAUAUUUGCAGGGGUCAGAUUGUCAAGGUACUUAUCAACAAUUCAAUAACGAUAUAACAACUUGUUAAAUCUCUUAUUUCCUGCUUCAUGUCUCUGAUAUUCAGAUGUUUAUUCAGUCAAUUGUUUGGAAGGAAUUGUCAAGUCACCUUGGGGCUUUGCAAUGUUAAGGGUAGAUGUCCAAAGGUGUCUUAGGUAUAUAGCUCAGUUAAGUUGUGGCACAAAUUAUCUACUCUAAUUGGAUAAAACUGCAAUAAUUAUGUAAAUAUUUAUAUUCAUUGAUGAACUCAAUAGUGGCUUGGUGGCAUAUGAUCUUAAAAGGGCCCCUUAUUCAGACAGAUCACAUUGAUGCCAAAAAUCAUGGUAGAUUCUCAUAGAUAAUAGGGAGAAAAUUAAAGGGAAUUAAUGGACAUGUAUAACAAUGUUGCAUGUUAUUCUUCAAUUAUUGGAGCGGUCCAGAGAAGGUUGAGAAUAUAUUGGCCAUAAUAAAAGAGUGAUGGAGCAAUCUCUCAAAGAAUCUCUGAAUAACAUCAGAAUUCAUAAGGUAUACAUUAUUUGUUGCUUGAUUCACUACAUAAUAUCUAGAGUGUUAAUGCCAAGCCAUGUAGUGCUCUACUCACACUAUGUAGUACAUAUACUAUUUACUCAUAAUAAUUUCAUUUUGAAACUUGUAUAGGAGAACUUUGCAAAGAAGCAUAUGACUACAAUGUGCUGCUGCUCAGGUAAUAAGUUUCAGCAUCAAAUUUCAAUAUGUGCAAUGCUGGUUUUAGGUUCAGAUAUCUGACUAACCUUUACCAAAUUUAGUUCCAAUAUGAAUAGGUGACACAGACACUUCUUCAUGGUUCCAUAGCAGCGGCGGUGCGGAGGGUCAACAACCUAUGAUGCUAUCGGAAGACCCCAGCUUGCUCCAUCUAAUGUGAGAUAAAGCUAGAUGAUGAAUGCAUAAACUUCAGGAGAUGCCAUGAACUUAACACAAGCCUGGCAAGCUCUCAUGAACUUAACACAAGAAAGUCUGCUCCUGAUGUAGGGACAUUGGGUGCAGAUCUUCCUAGGCUACUUCAGCAUGAGCAAGCAGUCAAUCAACAACGCCGGCAACAAGCGCAAGCUGGAUAUUGUGACUGUCUUAAUCUAAUUAAAUCAAAAUUAGUUAUUUCUCUGCCAUUUAUUUGGUGUUAACAUAAAUAGUUCUGAUGUAUGUCCUUUUGUAUGCUUGUAAAGAAGAGAUGCCAUGUUAUCAGGAGAUGCUAAUCAGAACUCAUCUCAGAAGGGGUGUGCGGCUGUGCUAUAUCAAUUGAAAAUUGCUUUUUUUUUCAAAACAAAUGAAUGACAGUUAAACAAUAAGUCGUAAACUUGAAAAAUCAGAAAAAUACUACGUAUGUUUCUUAUUAAUGAAUAUUUGAAAUUGAUGUUCGCAAAAUACUAAGGAAGUUCCAUGUAUGUUAAAUGGAGUUCAACUUCGAGAAGAGUUUUUUUUUCGAUCUGAAGGCCCGUAGUAUAUAAUCAACUCAAAGAAAUCUUAAUGGAUGAUCCAACUUCAAUUUGGAAAUAUAUGGAAUAACAACAUCUUUAUAAUAAUACAUUCUUAUUAGUUUCAAAACCCAUUACUCUCUUUCAAAUUUGACUUGACUAUAUAAAAACUUUAAUUCCUUCUCUGUUUCAGUGAUUUAUUUUUUUACCAACAUAGAUUUCAUGCGCUAUUGUAUUCCGAUCGUAUGCAACAAUGAGCUCUCUUUUUUUUUUUGCAUUUUUUAGCUUGAAUGGGGAUUAACAUGAAGCUUGGUUUAUUUAUUUUAUCACCACAUUGAAAUAAAUCGUCUUAUAUACAUAUUGCGACAGCAAAAUAUUACGUUGAUGCCAUAUGUAAUAUGAAAAACGUGCCUUGCACGUGCAUGAUUACUAGUUUUUUUAAAGUCACUCUUUCAUGACUGAAUAAACUAAGAAACAUCAUAAAUCCUUCUUUCUAGUUUCCACCCUCGUUGUUUCUGCUACACUUUUUGCUUCUAUACUAAAUUAGUUACGUCUAGGUUAUGCUUCUAUGAUACAAAGUGAGCGAGGCUCAACUAAAGAAUGCCUUGUACACUACAUCUUGUCAGGAAGGAUGGACAACAAGAUGGCUUUCAAUUGAAACUAAUAUGCAUAUAUGAAAGUCAUUAAUAUACCAUUGUUUAAAACUUUGAAAUCAUAUCUUGAUGUCGCUUGAAACAACAUAUUUGCAUGAAGUGACACGUUUGGUCGACAAGCGCAUGUCAUAUUCACAAUGAUCAUGCAUAUGCGGCCUUUCAUAUGCGCUUAUUUUAGUAGUGGAUGAAGAAUCAAUGUGCAUUGCUACAUCUUUACGUGCGUUUUAUGGUCUAUGAUUUUGUUGUAGUGGAUUUAGUAUUUGCCAUAUGUGCUUCGUGUUUGUUCUUAUUGGAAUUAAAGGAUGGACAUCUUUUAUACACUCCAUUUAUAUCUUAAAGACAAAGUAGCUUCGGAUCGAAUGUAAGCACACAGUAAAAUUGUAGAGUACCAAUGAUGGUAAUUAGUUACGAUGAUGUACUAGGAUAUAUCACCCUGAGUUUCACAUGUCAAAUAUGAUGAUAUCUGAGUUUAUUUUUAACUUCCGAACCACUGUAAUGUUAAAACUCAGUACAAUACACCGCCAAGGGUGGUAAUGCUACUAGGUGCACUAUAGUACCUAGGGUAGAUACCAUAUCUAGAUGGCAAGUUCAAAGCCAACAGAGCUUGAGCUUGAGCUUGACCCAGAUUCCGAUCAAAGUAGAGAUCAUCAAACUGCUGGAGUUGUAGCUGCUGCGCUAUGGCCUGAACAAUGUUAAUAUCUUGAUAGUGAGACUGUUGCGCCACCAGCCUGAGCUGUUGCCAAACUUGGUUGUUUUUCAGCUGAAACGCAGCUGAUUGCAAUAAGGGGCUUGCUGCUAUGCCAUACUGCUGCCUUACGAACUCAUUAUAUGGGCUAAGCACAUGUUGCUGUAGCAGGAGAG
rnacentral:lncRNA from 1 species